UACGAAGGGUGCAAGCGUUACUCGGAAUUACUGGGCGUAAAGCGUGCGUAGGUGGUUUGUUAAGUCUGUUGUGAAACCUCCAGGCUCAACCUGGAGACGCCACCUGAUACUGCUGUGACUCGAGUCCGGUAGGGGAGCGUGGAAUUCCUGGUGUAGCGGUGAAAUGCGCAGAUAUCAGGAGGAACACCAGCGGCGAAGGCGGCGCUCUGGGCCGGAACUGACGCUGAGGAGCGAAAGCGUGGGUAGCAAACAGG
rnacentral:rRNA from 1 species